GAGCUAGCAGCUAGCCUGCGUCCAUGGGCCCGAAAUCUUAUCUCCCAUCUAGCUAACGGUACAGCUCAUAACAGCUUUCCCGACUCUCCCUCCGGCAGUCUCAUCCGCUUCUUGGGAGGCGGCUCGUCCGGGUCUGACUCAGGCCCGAGCACCUCUCCUCUUCGGAAGCCCACCUCUUCCUGCAUCGAUGGACCCCCAACCACAGCCUCCAGGGCUGCCCCCACUGCCCCAACACCCAGGCCGCCUGAGGAGGAGCCUGGAGCGGCCGCGACCCCAAUCUCUUCCAUUGAGGACAUGCAGUCUAAGCAGAGAUGCCCAGACCUCCCUUUCCCUAGAC